rnacentral:tRNA from 1 species
UGGGGUAUAGCUCAGUGGCAAGGCAUGUGUCUAGCAUACAUGAGGCCCUGGGUUCGAGUCCCAGCACUUCAC